rnacentral:rRNA from 1 species
GUGGGGAAUCUUGCGCAAUGGGCGAAAGCCUGACGCAGCCAUGCCGCGUGAAUGAUGAAGGUCUUAGGAUUGUAAAAUUCUUUCACCGGGGACGAUAAUGACGGUACCCGGAGAAGAAGCUCCGGCUAACUUCGUGCCAGCAGCCGCGGUAAUACGAAGGGGGCUAGCGUUGCUCGGAAUUACUGGGCGUAAAGGGCGCGUAGGCGGACAGCUUAGUCAGAGGUGAAAGCCCAGGGCUCAACCUUGGAAUUGCCUUUGAUACUGGCUGUCUUGAGUUUGGGAGAGGUAAGUGGAACGCCGAGUGUAGAGGUGAAAUUCGUAGAUAUUCGGAAGAACACCAGUGGCGAAGGCGACUCACUGGCCCAAUACUGACGCUGAGGCGCGAAAGCGUGGGGAGCAAACAGGAUUAGAAACCCCGGUAGUCC